GAUGAACGCUAGCGGCAGGCUUAAUACAUGCAAGUCGUGGGGUAGAGAGGUGCUUGCACUUCUUGAGACCGGCAAACGGGUGCGGAACACGUACACAACCUUCCUUUUAGAGGGGGAUAGCCCAGGGAAACUUGGAUUAAUACCCCGUAAGAUGUUGGUGAGGCAUCUCACUGAUAUUAUAGCAGCGAUGCGCUAGAAGACGGGUGUGCGUAUGAUUAGGUAGUUGGCGGGGUAAUGGCCCACCAAGCCUACGAUCAUUAACUGGUGUGAGAGCACGACCAGUCACACGGGCACUGAGACACGGGCCCGACUCCUACGGGAGGCAGCAGUAAGGAAUAUUGGUCAAUGGACGCAAGUCUGAACCAGCCAUGCCGCGUGGAGGAUGAAGGUCCUCUGGAUUGUAAACUUCUUUUAUCUAGGGCGAAAAAGGGGAAUUCUUUCUCAACUGACGGUACCAGAUGAAUAAGCACCGGCUAACUCCGUGCCAGCAGCCGCAGUAAGAC
rnacentral:rRNA from 1 species